GACGAACGCUGGCGGCGCGCCUAACACAUGCAAGUCGAACGAGCGAGAGAGAGCUUGCUUUCUCGAGCGAGUGGCGAACGGGUGAGUAACGCGUGAGGAACCUGCCUCAAAGAGGGGGACAACAGUUGGAAACGACUGCUAAUACCGCAUAAGCCCACGACCCGGCAUCGGGUAGAGGGAAAAGGAGCAAUCCGCUUUGAGAUGGCCUCGCGUCCGAUUAGCUAGUUGGUGAGGUAACGGCCCACCAAGGCGACGAUCGGUAGCCGGACUGAGAGGUUGAACGGCCACAUUUGGACUGAGACACGGCCCAGAAUCCUACGGGAGGGAGCAGUGGGGAAUAUUGCACAAUGGGGGAAAACCUGAUGCAGCGACGCCGCGUGGAGGAAGAAGGUCUUCGGAUUGUAAACUCCUGUUGUUGAGGAAGAUAAUGACGGUACUCAACAAGGAAGUGACGGCUAACUACGUG
rnacentral:rRNA from 1 species